rnacentral:lncRNA from 1 species
UUUUCGUCCUCGAAAACAUACCUCAAGCGAACAACUCCGGAUAAGACUCCUUCAUCUUACUCUCCAGUUCCCAAGUCACAUUGCCACCUGCUGGUCCUCCCCAAGCUACCUUCACCAAGGCAAUCUCUUUACCCCGCAACUGCUUCAACUCUCGAUCCUCGAUCCUCAUAGGUGAUGUUUCAACAGUCAGGUUAUCUCUCACCUGUACAUCAUCUACUUGGACUACAUGCGACGGAUCAUGAAUGUACCUCCUCAACUGAGACACAUGAAAAACCUCAUGCAAAUUCGCAAGCGACGGCGGUAAAGCGA